rnacentral:rRNA from 1 species
CAAUAGCGUAUAUUAAAGUUGUUGCAGUUAAAAAGCUCGUAGUUGAAUUUCUGGUGGGCGCGCCGGUCUUCCAAGUGUUGUACUGGGCGCAGUCCGCCAUCCUUGUGGAGAGGGCUCGCAUUGAGUUGCGUGCCGGAUCUGCAUCAUUUACUGUGAAAAAAUUAGAGUGUUUAAAGCAGGCUGUCGCUUGAAUACAUUAGCAUGGAAUAAUAAGAUAGGACUUCGGUCUAUUUUGUUGGUUGCGAACCGAGGUAAUGAUUAAUAGGGAUAGUUGGGGGUAUUCAUAUUUAAUUGUCAGAGGUGAAAUUCUUGGAUUUAUGAAAGACGAACUUCUGCGAAAGCAUUUGCCAAGGAUGUUUUCAUUAA